rnacentral:rRNA from 1 species
AUUGAACGCUGGCGGCAUGCCUAACACAUGCAAGUCGAACGAGUGGCGGACGGGUGAGUAAUGUCUGGGAAACUGCCUGAUGGAGGGGGAUAACUACUGGAAACGGUAGCUAAUACCGCAUACCAUCGGAUGUGCACAGCUGGCAGUCGCUAGUAGGUGGGGUAACGGCUCACCAAGGAGACGAGCCCUAGCUGGUCUGAGAGGAUGACCAGCCACACGGGAACUGAGCCACGGUCCAGACUCCUACGUGAGGCAGCAGUGGGGAAUAUUGCACAAUGGGCGCAAGCCUGAUGCAGCCAUGCCGCGUGUAUGAAGAAGGCCUUCGGGUUGUAAAGUACUUUCAGCGGGGAGGCGUUACCCGCAGAAGAAGCACCGGCUAACUCCGUGCCAGCCGCCGCGGUAAUAC